rnacentral:piRNA from 1 species
UUUUUUGAAACUACCCAAAAA